rnacentral:rRNA from 1 species
AUUGAACGCUGGCGGCAGGCCUAACACAUGCCAGUCGAGCGGAUGAAGGGAGCUUGCUCCUGGAUUCAGCGGCGGACGGGUGAGUAAUGCCUAGGAAUCUGCCUGGUAGUGGGAGAUAACGCCCGGAAACGGGCGCUAAUACCGCAUACGUCCUGAGGGAGAAAGUGGGGGAUCUUCGGGCCUCACGCUAUCAGAUGAGCCUAGGUCGGAUUAGCUAGUUGGUGGGGUAAAGGCCUACCAAGGCGACGAUCCGUAACUGGUCUGAGAGGAUGAUCAGUCACACUGGAACUGAGACACGGUCCAGACUCCUACGGGAGGCAGCAGUGGGGAAUAUUGGACAAUGGGCGAAAGCCUGAUCCAGCCAUGCCGCGUGUGUGAAGAAGGUCUUCGGAUUGUAAAGCACUUUAAGUUGGGAGGAAGGGCAGUAAGUUAAUACCUUGCUGUUUUGACGUUACCAACAGAAUAAGCACCGGCUAACUUCGUG